CGACCGGCGCACGGGUGAGUAACGCGUACUCCAACCUGCCCACCACUUGGGGAUAACCUUGCGAAAGUUAAGACUAAUACCCAAUGACGUCCAUAGAAGACAUCUGAAAUGGAUUAAAGAUUUAUCGGUGAUGGAUGGGGAUGCGUCUGAUUAGCUUGUUGGCGGGGUAACGGCCCACCAAGGCGACGAUCAGUAGGGGUUCUGAGAGGAAGGUCCCCCACAUUGGAACUGAGACACGGUCCAAACUCCUACGGGAGGCAGCAGUGAGGAAUAUUGGUCAAUGGACGAGAGUCUGAACCAGCCAAGUAGCGUGCAGGAUGACGGCCCUAUGGGUUGUAAACUGCUUUUAUAAGGGAAUAAAGUGAGCCUCGUGAGGCUUUUUGCAUGUACCUUAUGAAUAAGGACCGGCUAAUUCCGUG
rnacentral:rRNA from 1 species